GGCGUUAAGUUGCAGGGUAUAGACCCGAAACCCGGUGAUCUAGCCAUGGGCAGGUUGAAGGUUGGGUAACACUAACUGGAGGACCGAACCGACUAAUGUUGAAAAAUUAGCGGAUGACCUGUGGCUGGGGGUGAAAGGCCAAUCAAACCGGGAGAUAGCUGGUUCUCCCCGAAAGCUAUUUAGGUAGCGCCUCGUGAAUUCAUCUCCGGGGGUAGAGCACUGUUUCGGCUAGGGGGCCAUCCCGGCUUACCAACCCGAUGCAAACUGCGAAUACCGGAGAAUGUUAUCACGGGAGACACACGGCGGGUGCUAACGUCCGUCGUGAAGAGGGAAACAACCCAGACCGCCAGCUAAGGUCCCAAAGUCAUGGUUAAGUGGGAAACGAUGUGGGAAGGCCCAGACAGCCAGGAUGUUGGCUUAGAAGCAGCCAUCAUUUAAAGAAAGCGUAAUAGCUCACUGGUCGAGUCGGCCUGCGCGGAAGAUGUAACGGGGCUAAACCAUGCACCGAAGCUGCGGCAGCGACGCUGAUGCGUUGUUGGGUAGGGGAGCGUUCUGUAAGCCUGUGAAGGUGGCCUGUGAGGGUUGCUGGAGGUAUCAGAAGUGCGAAUGCUGACAUAAGUAACGAUAAAGCGGGUGAAAAGCCCGCUCGCCGGAAGACCAAGGGUUCCUGUCCAACGUUAAUCGGGGCAGGGUGAGUCGACCCCUAAGGCGAGGCCGAAAGGCGUAGUCGAUGGGAAACGGGUUAAUAUUCCCGUACUUGGUGUUACUGCGAAGGGGGGACGGAGAAGGCUAUGUUGGCCGGGCGACGGUUGUCCCGGUUUAAGCGUGUAGGUGUGUGUUCCAGGUAAAUCCGGUUCACUUUAACACUGAGGCGUGACGACGAGGCACUACGGUGCUGAAGCAACAAAUGCCCUGCUUCCAGGAAAAGCCUCUAAGCAUCAGGUAACAUCAAAUCGUACCCCAAACCGACACAGGUGGUCAGGUAGAGAAUACCAAGGCGCUUGAGAGAACUCGGGUGAAGGAACUAGGCAAAAUGGUGCCGUAACUUCGGGAGAAGGCACGCUGACACGUAGGUGAAGUGAUUUACUCAUGGAGCUGAAGUCAGUCGAAGAUACCAGCUGGCUGCAACUGUUUAUUAAAAACACAGCACUGUGCAAACACGAAAGUGGACGUAUACGGUGUGACGCCUGCCCGGUGCCGGAAGGUUAAUUGAUGGGGUCAGCGCAAGCGAAGCUCCUGAUCGAAGCCCCGGUAAACGGCGGCCGUAACUAUAACGGUCCUAAGGUAGCGAAAUUCCUUGUCGGGUAAGUUCCGACCUGCACGAAUGGCGUAAUGAUGGCCAGGCUGUCUCCACCCGAGACUCAGUGAAAUUGAACUCGCUGUGAAGAUGCAGUGUACCCGCGGCAAGACGGAAAGACCCCGUGAACCUUUACUAUAGCUUGACACUGAACAUUGAGCCUUGAUGUGUAGGAUAGGUGGGAGGCUUUGAAGUGUGGACGCCAGUCUGCAUGGAGCCGACCUUGAAAUACCACCCUUUAAUGUUUGAUGUUCUAACGUGGACCCGUGAUCCGGGUUGCGGACAGUGUCUGGUGGGUAGUUUGACUGGGGCGGUCUCCUCCUAAAGAGUAACGGAGGAGCACGAAGGUUGGCUAAUCCUGGUCGGACAUCAGGAGGUUAGUGCAAUGGCAUAAGCCAGCUUGACUGCGAGCGUGACGGCGCGAGCAGGUGCGAAAGCAGGUCAUAGUGAUCCGGUGGUUCUGAAUGGAAGGGCCAUCGCUCAACGGAUAAAAGGUACUCCGGGGAUAACAGGCUGAUACCGCCCAAGAGUUCAUAUCGACGGCGGUGUUUGGCACCUCGAUGUCGGCUCAUCACAUCCUGGGGCUGAAGUAGGUCCCAAGGGUAUGGCUGUUCGCCAUUUAAAGUGGUACGCGAGCUGGGUUUAGAACGUCGUGAGACAGUUCGGUCCCUAUCUGCCGUGGGCGCUGGAGAACUGAGGGGGGCUGCUCCUAGUACGAGAGGACCGGAGUGGACGCAUCACUGGUGUUCGGGUUGUCAUGCCAAUGGCACUGCCCGGUAGCUAAAUGCGGAAGAGAUAAGUGCUGAAAGCAUCUAAGCACGAAACUUGCCCCGA
rnacentral:rRNA from 1 species